rnacentral:rRNA from 1 species
GACGAACGCUGGCGGCGUGCUUAACACAUGCAAGUCGAACGAAGAGCGAUGGAAGCUUGCUUCUAUCAAUCUUAGUGGCGAACGGGUGAGUAACGCGUAAUCAACCUGCCCUUCAGAGGGGGACAACAGUUGGAAACGACUGCUAAUACCGCAUACGAUCUAACCUCGGCAUCGAGGAUAGAUGAAAGGUGGCCUCUACAUGUAAGCUAUCACUGAAGGAGGGGAUUGCGUCUGAUUAGCUAGUUGGAGGGGUAACGGCCCACCAAGGCGAUGAUCAGUAGCCGGUCUGAGAGGAUGAACGGCCACAUUGGGACUGAGACACGGCCCAGACUCCUACGGGAGGCAGCAGUGGGGAAUCUUCCGCAAUGGACGAAAGUCUGACGGAGCAACGCCGCGUGAGUGAGGACGGCCUUCGGGUUGUAAAGCUCUGUUAAUCGGGACGAAAGGCCUUCUUGCGAAUAGUUAGAAGGAUUGACGGUACCGGAAUAGAAAGCCACGGCUAACUACGUG